AGCAAGAGCUGAUGUAAACAAAGCCUCCUGUCACCGACCUGCUGCCCUUCCCUCCUGCCCUCACACCUCCCUCAGUGCCGAUGACCUGCUGACAGAACGACGAGCUGCCAACACCCGCCACACACUCCACGAGAAGAGGAGAAUGCACUGUGAGGGUGUUGUCCUGAGCAGCGGGAGGCGAGGCAGAAGGAGAGUGUGACGCAUCUCAAGGGCAUUCCUGAAGAAGGCUCUUACCCCUCAGAGGAGCAAGACCCUAGCGGCGGGCACCUCCAGGCCCCCUCGGCGCCCCGGCUGCUGCAGACCAUCUCCACCAGCAACAGGUUCAUCACAGUGGCCUGGCAUGAGCCAGAGCUCAACACUGACCACACUGUGGGAUAUUCAGUCGUCUACAAGCAGGAAGGAUCACUUAGAGAACACGUCCAGAAUGUGAGUGCAGCUCCUCCAGCGAGAGACUGGACGAAUACAAGACCCAGAUCAGCGACCUAAGUCCCAGGAGUAACUACAUGAUGCGGGUCCACACCUCCGGCAGCCUGGUGGGCACCUCCACACACGAGGUGCGGGUGUUCACCAAGCCAGACCUGGACCUGCCCUCCACCCCAGAGAGUCUAAAAGUUGUCCCCGCCUCACCCACCAGUCUGGAGGUCACUUGGUCACCGCCUGGAGUGGCCAAAACACCCAUCACGGGAUACACCAUGUUCUAUACGCAGGUUGGGUCAGCAGAAGAACGCAAGGUAUAGGUCACUGGUACGUCAUAUGACCUCCAAGGUCUUGACCAGUUCACUGAGUACAGCGUGUGGCUCACUGCCGUCAACAGUGAUGGCGGGGGAGACGCCACCCCGUAGGUCACUGCCAGAACCUUCUCGAUGUGCCCUCAAAGGAGCCCCAGAAUGUGAGCGUUGAGGCUGCCAGCUCAAGGAGCCUCAUCAUCUGCUGGGAGCCUCCACUGGCCGAGCACCAGAAUGGGAUCAUCACCAGCUACAAGAUCCGGUACAAGGAGCGCGGCAAGUCAGGUUCCUCCAAGACCAAAACCACAAACGGAAACAGAUGACUCUUUGCCCUCAGACCUCAAGAAAAGCACCACAUACUCCAUAAAGGUAAGGUUUAAUCCUUAGACUCUCUCUCUCUCUCUCUUUCUCUCUCUCUCAGGGGGAAGACUUACAGUUAUCUUUUGAUUUCAUUUAUUUAUUAACAUAUUUCUUGAUACAUUUUAUUAUUGUUCUCCUGAUCAAAGUCUGGGUGAGGGAGGGUGAGGGGUAUGCUCUCUCCCUCACAUAUACACACACACACACAUAUACCAUGAAUUCAAAGCAAAAUUGGACAGAAACUAAUAUGAAGACACGACUAUACAAGGUUAGCUCAUAUCAUGUGUACUACAACCAGGUAAUCACACACACACACACACACACACACACACUCAACUAACAGGGAGCAUAUGCCAGGGGUGGUGUUGCUUCAGAGAGAGGAAGAGAGUAAGGGGGAGGGGAUCUUGUAUAUGUGUCUGGGGGCGCAUGUGUCUGUGGGGUUUGUAAACAUACUGUGGGGGGACAUCCUGUGGGUCCUGUGAGCUGUGGAGAGAGAGAGAGAGAGAGAGAGAGAGAGAGAGAGAGAGAGAGAGAGAGAGAGAGAGUCUCCAGGUGACUAGAACAUGAAACAUAUGCUCGUGAUCCCCCCCCCCCAGAUUUGUGGAACCCACAUUCAUGGAUUAACAAAUGCGUGAAUUCUCCAUAGAAAAAAGGGUUUUCCCAGUAGUAAAUUUGUGGCCGCUAGCUGUGUCAACAUUCACAAUCUCUCAUGGCAACAGCAAGCUUAAAUCUUGUCACCUGCCACCCCCCCUACUCAUUAUAAACUUUCACUGUUAUUUUGUGUUGCAUAUGUUAUGCAUGUUUCAAUGGUUUAAGAUCUUGAGAGGUGUUGAAAUGGAUCUUAUUACCUUCCUGGGGUUAUUUCUUAAAGUGUCUGUCAGGUGUGCAUAUGUGGUCUGUGUCCCCUAACCAGCAUGAAUGUGGGGUACAAGCUUCCACCAGAAGAAUGAACAGUAGGAGCAAGUGUAGCAAGAGUGAUCAAAGGGUGCCCCCAUAACACACACACACACACACACACACACACACACACACACACACACACACACACACACACACACACACACUGUGUACAAAA